rnacentral:rRNA from 1 species
UACAGAGGUCUCAAGCGUUGUUCGGAUUCAUUGGGCGUAAAGGGUGCGUAGGCGGCGCGGUAAGUCGGGUGUGAAAUCUCGGAGCUUAACUCCGAAACUGCAUUCGAUACUGCCGUGCUUGAGGACUGGAGAGGAGACUGGAAUUUACGGUGCAGCGGUGAAAUGCGUAGAUAUCGUAAGGAGGACCAGUGGCGAAGGCGGGUCUCUGGACAGGUUCCUGACGCUGAGGCACGAAGGCCAGGGGAGCAAACGGG